rnacentral:rRNA from 1 species
GUGCCAGCAGCCGCGGUAAUACCGGCAGCCCGAGUGAUGGCCGAUAUUAUUGGGCCUAAAGCGUCCGUAGCUGGCCGAACAAGUCCGUCGGGAAAUCCACGUGCUUAACGCGUGGGCGACCGGCGGAAACUGUCCGGCUUGGGGCCGGAGGACCCGAGGGGUACGUCCGGGGUAGGAGUGAAAUCCCGUAAUCCUGGACGGACCGCCGAUGGGGAAACCACCUCAGGAGAACGGAUCCGACAGUGAGGGACGAAAGCCAGGGUCUCGAACCGGAUUAGAUACCCGAGUAGUCC